GCCUACAAAUGUUGACCCGAAGGUUGGACAUAAUCAUUACUUCCUAUUACAAUUUAUUAACGUUAAUUCAAUUAACAAAAGUUGAUUGGAAUCUGACAAUGAUCUAGAUAUUUGCAUGGGUGAGAGAAUCUCGCUGACAUUUUUCGAUAUUUAGAUGGGAUUUGUCUAUGAAUUUUGUUUUUGUAAUUUUGGGUUUUGUUUAUAUUGUUAGAUUCGUUGUCUGCGCGUAUCAUUUGCUUCUGUUUUUCGUUUCAGGCGACGUUACUCUUCAUUUUUUGGGGCUUUUGUGUGAAGCUUUCGAAGCCCUUUGUGCUCAAGUUAUGGUAUGAGACGUGAUAUAAAUUGAACAGGGUGAGAUAAGCCUUCUGUUAACCAAUACGGGUCUAUUCAUUCUGGUAAUGCUACAAAUGGAUAAAUCACAUCAGAGCGUCUGCUACCCCUUUGUUACCUGAUUUCAUGGAUUCAUAUAUGUGCUAUCUCCAUAACUAUUAUCUGUCUGCUGCCUAUUACUAUGGAGGCUAUGAUGAGACUAGCAACAACUGGGAGGACUACUUGAGAUAUGUAAAUCCUGAGGGAGUAUAAAUGAUUUCUAAAGGAGGAACACCCAAACUGGAGGUCAGUCAAGCAUGACAUCCUUUCUAUAGACCUGAGGGGAAAUUAUGAGACAUGGAAAUUGUUGCCAAAUGCGAGGACAUAAAGUUGUCUAUUUGCAAAAUUACGAUGAAGUGGCACAAGGACCCUAAGUUGAGAUUGCAAAUGAAAAGAUUGUAUUUGCAGCGUUGAUGCAUUGUUGAGCCAGAGACGCAAAAGGAAGGAUGUAUUCAAUCUCAAGAUCUGAG